CGUCAGUGAGCAUGCGCACAGAUAGCCUGGUGCCAGGGCAGGACACGACACAGGAGAGGCCUUUUUGAUAUUUUUUUGGAAAGAUCAUUGAAACCAUCACAGUGCGGAUAGGAAAAAAGUAGUAUAUAGCUAAAAGGAUAAAGCAUAAGUCACAGAAAGUGCUGCUGAAUUUCUACACAACUGAUUGCUACAUCACGGCAAUAACUAACACAGACCAGGAAUCGAACUGGAAUCUUCACAAUCUUGAUAACUCAACUCACCAGAUAACUGGUUGAGGUAGGAUACAGUCCUUUUUCAAAGAAGGAAGACAAAGAUGGAUACAACUGUCAACAUAUUUUUCAACACUCACAAAACAUCAAUCCUGAUA